rnacentral:lncRNA from 1 species
UAAACUUUUGCUUCUGUUACAUGGUCUAGUUUGCUUUUGCUGCUAAGAGAGCUGCACUAUUAUCUGUCUAUUGAGUCGUCGUCGCUGUAUUGCUAUUGGAAUGUACUCCUAUCUGUCGUGAUACUGGCACUUUGUUUUGAUGUCUGUCGAUGUUAAAACUUAGAUUAUAUAUCUGUCGCGAUACUUUUGAUGUCUAUCAAUGUUAAAACUUAGACUAUAUAUCUGUUAUGGUAGUUCUUGUUGAUGUCUUGUUUGCUUUUGUGUUAGAUCUUGAGAUCUCUGCCUGGUUCUUUAUUUUGCUCUAGUCUUGCUCUAUAUUUUUAAUGAUCUUGAGAGCUCCUCUACUUGCAGUAUUUCUUCCUGCUCUUAUCAUCAUUUUACCUUCCAUGUUUUAUGCCCAUCAAAAUGUGUUCCAUCUUCUGUCAGUUGUAUUUCAAUCUAUGCUGUACUUGUUUUUCUCCAUUUUCACGAGACACGCACUGAUGAUGAGAAAUUGCUCCCUAGUGCUAGAUACAUCUGUUGAGCAAACAACAUUUCAGACGGAGGAUGUAGUACAUUAGAGGAACUUGCCGAGAGAAUAUACUGUAGUAGAAGCAUCUGUUAAUGCCGAGAGUAUCCGAACUUGUAUCUCUUCGGAAUACUACAGAUUGAACCUUUGUAGGCAUGAAAGAAUAUUCACAUAAUUUUCAUGCUCAGUAACUCUCUUACUCCACGGUCAUAGCAAUAUUGAGUUCUGAAGUUGUUCAUGGUAAAUUCUGGCAUAUAAUUGAUUUGUCUGCUAUUUCUUUACUGUUACUGGAUGCAAUGUACUGAGUAGUUGUACACGGGCUCUAUGUAAUUAUGACACUUGCAAAUAAGCUUCAACCUUUUAAUUUUUGCUGAAACAUAGGCAUGCCAUUUAAUGACUUGUUUUCAUGACCAACUUUGCCACAAUUAAGCUUAGGCAAAGAGUGGCUAACAAAAUGUUUACUACAAGUGUGGCAAGAUUUGGCAAAAAAUUUGAGCCUAUGACAUGUGGAUCAUAUAGCUAGAAAAGUGUGGCAGCUAAGUGUGGCAAUAAACUAAAUACAUGCCUAAGAUGUUGUGGCACGACUAAGGUUAGACGCGGAAACCUUACGCUGCAAAUCAAACAUACCUUAACUAAAAUAAAGUGAUCUCAGGUUUCUUAAUUUGGACACGAUGUUCAUAAAUACAAAUAAUACUCUCUCCGUAUCUAAUACUAAAACGUGACUUGAUACAUCCGUAUUUAGACAAAUCUAAGACAAGAAUUUUGGGACGGGGGAGUAGAUGAUUGGCUUUGGUCAGUGUGUUCUGGCCGCUUUAUGGAUGCUUACUUUUAUCUUUUAUGAAAUUUCAAUACUUUUCAAAAGACAAGACAGACUUUUAAUUGCCAACAAAAAUAGUACGGGAAAAUAGGGCUGAGGCUCGUCCAUCAAAUUCUCCGCUAAAAGGGAAAAUAUAAAGUGGCGGAGCUAACAAUAAUUUUGAUUGAUUGCAUUCAUCUUUGGAUGAAAGCUUAGUUUGAGCAUGAUUCUCCAAAAAUAUUACCUAAAUGAUAAGCUUAAAAUCCGUAGCCUCCUAUUCACCAUCUCUAGUCAAUCAUGUCGAUCAUUUCAAUGGAUAUUAGAGUUAUGGAUCUUUAUUACGGCUUACCGCCUAAAGAGAAUAAGGUCGAUGCCGGGAAAUCCACCGGUGGUGCCCCUAUGGUACAUGGUGAGCUUCCCGUCACCACACAACUGUUGCCUUGACCAUGGUGGACUUUACGUUAAUGUUGGAUUUUUAAGUCCGCCAUGAUAAAAGAAGUUCAUUCCAUUUUCAAGGAAGAGGUGGGCUCGAAAGUCAAAGCCUCUACAUCCGCACAAUCCUCAUUUGCUCCAAGUGAGGUUCGUGAUGUGGACGAUGUAAGAGAACAUCUUGCUCUCCCCGAACCUACAAUUGCACCCCUCGCAAUUCCAUAGAGUGCCACUACACACUAUGACCUAUCCAACAUCCGGAUAUUAAUCAUGUUGGGCCUCCGCCCCCUUUGAAAGCUAACACAUUUUCUAAGCGGAAACUCACUCUGGAGUCUCACAUUUACAGUGCCUCUACACAACUCUCAUGGGUGAUUGCGAAUGGUUUCAAGCCCAAGGACCCAUCAAGCCUUACACCAAGGGAAGCCGUUGAUGAUCGAUUCAUUACCACCGCCUUCAACAUGCUCCGGCUUGCCACCACCGAUGAGUAUGCCAAUUCCAUUGCUAUCUUCAAGCCCCCCAAAGAAAUUUGAGAUUGCAUUGAGGAUAUAUUUGAAGGACAUGACAAUGUUCAGAGAUCUAGGUUGGUCAUUGUUCGUCAAUUUGUCCAUAAGGAAUGUGAGAGAGACCACUGAAGAGGUGUUCUGGAGAUUGAAGUCACUUGUGUUGGAUUCGAGAAACUUUUGGAGCCAUGGUCUUUACGAAUCAUACUAUGAUCAUGAUGAUCCACCAACAUCCCGACUAUGACCGAAUGACUCCCAAUCGAGUUGUGUCUUCUUUUGGAGAUCAAGUCCAAGAACACAAUGGCGAUUGAUCAAGAAAUAAAGAACUCCAAUCUAGCGCUAAAGGCCAAGAAGGUGGUCGGAUGUGCUACGAGAGAAGAAGUUGAUACCUCGUGUCAGGUUGACUUUGAGGAAGACUUGACCCUCUAGGUCAAGAAAUAUUCGGGCACAAAAGCAAAGAAAAGGGGAAGCAUCUUAAGGGAACAUCCUUUGGGAGAAGAACGUGCCACAAUCUUAUUAAUGUUACAUGGAGAAGAUUUCGUUUUGCGAUUGACUUCUCUCUCGCGCCAUCCGCCUCGCGAGCCGUCCGAUCAAGGUUGAUCGUGCUGCACUCAUCGUAUGUCACCCGUCCACCUGGGGCCCAUGCACCACCGUCCGCAUUAUAUCCAGCGCAACAACGAGAGCCACUCGCUCCCCCCCACAUGAGUGAGAUCCCCAUUUUUCCUCUUCAUAUUUGAAUCCCUCUUUGCACGGCCCCGUCGGAGCAGUCGCAAGCGGCAUGUAGCACCUGACGGGGAACCUGCUGCACCCUAGCAGCCGGCGACCCACAGCACCCGCGUCGGCGUUGCCCAGCAUCGUCGACCGUUCCCGUGCCCUAUGUUGCCGAGCAUCGUUGGCCGUUGCUGCGGUCGGUGUUGCCGAGCACGUCUGCGCUCAGCUCUCAUCUUCUUUUUUUUUUGAGGCACGCUCAGCUCUCAUCUGAAAUUCUCACCACGCCUGGACAUCAUCCCUUUCGGCCCGACUCCACAGUGGACAACAGACAGGCCAGCUUCACUUGCGGGCCGCAUUUCGCGUGGCCGGCCUUCCCCCUCCGCUCCGCGCGCAUCUUGGCCCGCACGGAACCAACAAAAUAGCAUAUAUAACGGCCAGCAAAUGCGACCUAGAGAGUCCUCACUUCCUUGAACCCUUUCCAUUCUCACGGAUCGGGAGCGCCGCCGCUUCCCCACCUCUCGUCUCUCGGCGAACCCCCAAGGUGAGCCGAACCUCCCCUCCCGCCUCCUCCCCCGCGCCCUCCGGCUGCUUCUCCGGCUGCUCCGUCGGCGGGCGCGUCCCUGCUAGCUAGCUACUGGCUGCUACCUGGCCGACCGAUUUCACGGGCUCUAGUCCAGCCUCCUCGCUAGCUCGAUGCGGUCCAGUCCCCUUUGCUGGGUUCGUGGCCGCUGGGAUUAUUCCUAUGUGGUUUCGAUGCUCUUAGACGCGGUAGAUCUGCUGCUUCGUUCGUCCCGCUCGCUUGUUCCUGGCGACGACUUUGUGCUGACGUCACUAGAUAGAUAAGCUCGUCGCUUCCGAUGCGCUUCUGCGGUGGCUAAGGGUGUUUGCCCCGUCGUGUUUAGCGAGGAUCUGCCCGCUCCGCCGUGGUGGACGGCGAUCUGUUUUAUGUGGUGUUCCGUUAGCUUUUUUCGCCAUUUUUUGCUGCGCUGCUGUUCAUCCACGGGCUCUUAGCAUGCUCAAGCUGCAGGGUUUUGCUCACUCGGUUGCCUGCCUGCCGUACCCUGGUUGGUUUCGUUCUCUGUUCUCAUGUUCAGGGCGGAGGAAAUGGUGAUGCAUACCUUUGCUUGGCAUGUUUAAUUUAAUUUGAUUGUGUAUAUAGAACGGGAGACUCUUAUAGAAUGGUGUGUCAGUUCUUAUCUACUUAUAGUUGAGGUAUUAUGGGUGAAUUUAUCCCUCAUCUGUUUUAUUUGGUUAAAUUGAUCCUAUGUGACUAUCUUCUGGUGUUCUUCUCAGUGCUCCCCAUGCAUGGUUGGUUGCACCUAUUUCAGAGCUCAACAUUAUGACCUUCUGUGCAUCGCAUUGUUUCUAGUGUUUACAGUGGUAGUUACUACUACAUGAUAAUACAGUCAGCACGUGUGCAUAAAACUAAAACUACCUUCUGUCACAAAUCAACUUUGCAUAAAACUACGAUUCUGUUUCGAAUCUGAUUUGUUUUCUCCAUCCACAUAUGAUUGAUUCAUGAGAGAUGUUUCUAUGAUCCACAAAGUUAUACAGAUCUGUAGGUACUUGAAGGUUUAGCUAGUGAAAUCCAUUACCUGUUUGUGCUUCAUACUUGCGCACACUUCAGAUAAUGGACUGCUUUUCUUUCUUAUCUUUCUUACUGUUUUGUGCUUUCUUUCGCAUACUGUCAUGUCGAGUGCUCUAAAAAUUGGUUGCCAUUGUUGCUUUCUGGCUUCCUUUUGAACGCACUUUGGGCAAUUAAGUUUUCAGAACAUGGUCUUCAGUUCCCAUAAGUUAGUUUUAGUAUGCUUGGUUGACUGUAACACAUAUUUCAUUUUAGUGGGUGUGGUUGUGGAAGUGUUGGUUAAAGUAUUUUUGGUACUGUACUUGAAGCUAAUGUGUGCCCAACAGUAGUAAGAGCCUUCUGUUUAUUCAGUUGUGGUUUUAAUUACUUAAUUUUUGUUCCAUUCUGAACAGGAACUAUAUUCCCAGCGUGAUAUCCAAAACCAGUCAAGAUGGUGAAGUUUACUGCGGAGGAGCUCCGCGGAAUUAUGGACAAGAAAAAUAAUAUUCGUAACAUGUCUGUUAUUGCUCAUGUCGACCACGGUAUGUGCCUGAACAUACAGUUGUCUCUAAUUAUUGAGUUCAUACAGUAGAAUCUUUGUUAAUCAAUGUUUUCAGCCUCUUAAUUUUACUGUAUUUAAUUCUAAAUACUGAAACUAUUUAAAUGGGUCAAUUUAACAAGUGGAGCAUAAUUAGUUUCAUCCCUAAAACCAAUCCAUCUUAUUGUGUCCUGGAGUUUACUACCACUGCUUAUUAUAUGAUUGAUUUCUGCUUCACCAAUAUGACUGAUUUCUGCUUCACCAAGCUUAAAUGUUACUGUUGACAUACCAUCCCAGGGCUUAUAUCUCCCCAGUUUGGUGUAUUCUCACAUUGUCCCUGAAUGCAUUACACUUGUAGGAUCUGAAAUUUACAUGAUUGUACUUAGUUACUUCAAUAUUGAUGUCCUUAUAUUCUGUUUGCAAUGUCCCACUAGAUUUUGCUUAACCAUGUUGCUAAAAACCUUGUUGAGCUUAUUUGUACCUUCUUUUGUUUCCUGAUUGUUUGAAAGUACUGUACUGCUGUGUCCUACUUCUGCCUUAUAUGAGUUAACAUGUUCGAUUUUCUAUUCAUAUAGGUUGUGUUCAACUGUCAAACCAGAUGCUUGUGCACUGUUCUCACAUAUUAUUUACAUAUUUGCAGGCAAGUCUACGCUUACGGAUUCCCUUGUGGCAGCUGCUGGGAUUAUCGCCCAGGAAGUUGCUGGGGAUGUUCGCAUGACCGAUACCCGUGCAGAUGAGGCAGAGCGUGGUAUUACAAUCAAAUCCACGGGUAUCUCUCUUUUCUAUCAGAUGACUCCUGAAUCACUUGAGAUGUACAAGGGCGACAGGGAUGGAGAUGAAUACCUGAUCAACCUUAUUGAUUCACCUGGCCACGUUGACUUUUCUUCGGAAGUCACAGCUGCUCUUCGUAUCACUGAUGGUGCUUUGGUGGUUGUUGACUGUAUUGAGGGUGUCUGUGUGCAGACCGAAACUGUGCUGCGCCAAGCUCUUGGUGAGAGGAUUAGGCCCGUCCUCACCGUGAACAAGAUGGACAGAUGCUUCCUUGAGCUUCAGUUUGAAGGUGAGGAAGCAUAUCAGACUUUCUCCCGUGUCAUCGAAAAUGCCAAUGUCAUCAUGGCAACAUAUGAAGAUGUGCUCCUUGGUGAUGUCCAAGUGUACCCAGAAAAGGGGACUGUUGCAUUCUCUGCUGGUUUGCAUGGGUGGGCUUUCACCCUUACAAACUUUGCUAAGAUGUAUGCCUCCAAGUUUGGUGUUGAUGAGGUGAAGAUGAUGGAGAGGCUGUGGGGUGAGAACUUCUUUGACCCAGCCACAAAGAAAUGGACCACCAAGAACACUGGGACAGCUACCUGCAAGAGAGGUUUUGUUCAGUUCUGCUAUGAGCCAAUCAAGCAAAUCAUCGCCACCUGCAUGAAUGAUCAGAAGGAUAAGUUGUGGCCUAUGUUGAAGAAGCUUGGUGUGACCAUGAAGAAUGAUGAGAAGGACUUGAUGGGAAAGGCUCUCAUGAAGCGUGUGAUGCAGACUUGGCUGCCUGCCAGUCGUGCUCUGCUUGAGAUGAUGAUAUUUCACCUCCCCUCUCCUUCAAAGGCACAGAGGUAUCGUGUGGAGAACUUAUACGAGGGCCCCCUUGAUGAUGUAUAUGCAAAUGCUAUCAGAAACUGUGACCCUGACGGUCCUCUUAUGCUGUAUGUCUCCAAGAUGAUUCCAGCAUCUGACAAGGGUAGAUUCUUUGCCUUUGGACGUGUUUUUGCCGGGAGGGUUGCAACUGGCAUGAAGGUCCGUAUCAUGGGUCCCAACUUUGUUCCUGGCCAGAAGAAGGAUCUGUAUGUGAAGAGUGUCCAGCGUACUGUUAUCUGGAUGGGAAAGAAGCAAGAGUCUGUUGAGGAUGUUCCCUGUGGUAACACUGUUGCUUUGGUUGGUUUGGAUCAGUUCAUCACCAAGAAUGCAACCCUGACAAAUGAGAAGGAAGUUGAUGCCUGCCCAAUCAGGGCAAUGAAGUUCUCUGUGUCCCCUGUUGUGCGUGUUGCUGUUCAGUGCAAGGUGGCUUCUGAUCUUCCUAAGCUUGUUGAGGGUUUGAAGCGUCUGGCCAAGUCUGAUCCUAUGGUUCUCUGUACCAUUGAAGAGUCUGGUGAGCAUAUCAUUGCUGGAGCUGGAGAGCUUCACCUUGAAAUCUGUCUGAAGGAUCUGCAGGAUGACUUCAUGGGUGGUGCUGAAAUUAUUGUUUCCCCUCCUGUUGUCUCCUUCCGUGAGACUGUUCUGGAGAAGUCCUGCCGUACCGUUAUGAGCAAGUCCCCCAACAAGCACAACCGUCUUUACAUGGAAGCUCGCCCGUUGGAGGAGGGAUUGGCUGAGGCUAUCGAUGAUGGCCGCAUUGGCCCGCGUGAUGAUCCUAAGGUGCGCUCCAAGAUCCUGUCUGAGGAGUUUGGGUGGGACAAGGAUCUCGCCAAGAAGAUUUGGUGCUUUGGACCUGAGACGACUGGCCCCAACAUGGUUGUUGACAUGUGUAAGGGAGUGCAGUAUCUGAAUGAAAUCAAGGACUCUGUUGUGGCUGGGUUCCAGUGGGCAUCAAAAGAAGGAGCAUUGUGUGAGGAGAACAUGCGUGGUAUCUGCUAUGAGGUCUGUGAUGUUGUUCUCCACACUGAUGCUAUUCACAGGGGUGGUGGUCAGGUUAUCCCAACGGCGAGGAGGGUCAUUUACGCUUCUCAGCUCACUGCCAAGCCAAGGCUGCUGGAGCCCGUGUACCUGGUUGAGAUCCAGGCCCCGGAGAACGCACUUGGUGGUAUCUAUGGUGUGCUGAAUCAGAAGAGAGGCCACGUGUUCGAGGAGAUGCAGAGGCAAGGUACCCCACUCUACAACAUCAAGGCCUACCUGCCUGUUAUCGAGUCCUUCGGGUUCUCGAGCACCCUGAGGGCCGCGACGUCCGGCCAGGCCUUCCCCCAGUGUGUGUUUGACCACUGGGACGUCAUGGCCUCCGAUCCUUUGGACCCUGGCACCCAGUCGGCGACGCUCGUGACGGAGAUCCGCAAGAGGAAGGGUCUCAAGGAGCAGAUGACCCCCCUAUCCGACUUCGAGGACAAGCUCUAAAUUUUGGGGCUUCGAGGACAAGCUCUAAAUUUUGGGGCCAUGUUUUGGUACUGGCUCUUGCUGUGAAGGGAGGCGCGGUAUUUUUCUCCCUAUGUGUCUUCCUUACUAUGUUGUUGUUUGUAUGUGGUGCUACUGAGACUAUGGUUUUGAUGAUGGUUGUGGUGAUGUAACAGAUGUUAAACUUAGAUCAUACAUUUCUGGCAUCCCAUGGUGGUUUAUUUUUACUGUGCUGUGUUUGCUUUUGUGCUAGAUCUUGCUUUCAUUUACGUAUAUUUGACUGUCGUCUCUCGCAAUUGCGUGGUGCGUGUUGUUACGUUUGUGAGUUCCAGCCAUUGUUGCGUUCUGGUUCAUUCAUAAUCUCUUGGGCUGUUUUUUUCUUUCCUUUGCUCUUAGUUUCAUGUUGUUAUGAUGAUUUCCACCAGCCCCUUGUGUUCUUGCCCGGCCGCUCUCUAUUUGCUGCUCUGUGGCUGAGCAGUAUCGUUUUGCGAUAGAAGCUUUCAGUCUAUUAUACUAUAUGUGAAACUCAAAUGCUUGAUGGUUUUGUUUGUUAUGAUCUAUUUUUGGAGUGCCAUUGCUACUACAGUACGUACAUGGCAGAGAAAUGCUGCUGAUAUUAAUGAUCUGUAUCAACGCCUUUCAGAUCUUACCACUGUAGCGAAAUUGGCUGAUAACCCGCGUUACAUUUUUUACGACGGGAAUCGGAAUGAACAUAGCUAGAGAGCGCAGUGCUUGGCAGUUGUUGCCCUGGGUGAAGAUCGUUGCGGCAACAGCAAUGGAGGCCGCAUCUUUGUGUACAAUCAGGGUGACCAGUGCCGGCUUUUGUCAGCUGGUCUUUGUGUUCAAAAAAUUCACAAAGACUCUUUGUCAAAGAGCAUAUGACAAAAGACAGCACCGACAGACAUGGAAGAUGAGGGCCGGCAAAACAGAACCGCAUCGCAUAUGCGGGAGUAUAUUCCUAUUCCGUUUCUCAAGCGACGCGUCAGCGAUGACGUGCGACCGGACGACUGACUUAACCAAGCAAGCACCAGAGGCAUAUGCCGAUUGGAGCAGUUGAAGCGCCGCCAGGGAAGACCAAAAACCUGUCCUUUGCAUAGUUUGUACUGCAUUCCAUGGUUUUACCAGAUAUGGAAAAAUAUCCAAUUAUAUCAGUCCUUAGAGCAUGUACAAUUGUUGAUAAGACUGUUUUAUCUUAUGGCUGUAACGUUAUUUAGAAAGGACAAUAAAAAAUGAUGUGCAAUUCGUUAUUCUUACUUACCCUCGUCUUCAAUAACUAGAUAUCUCUAAUAUGUCGUGAGACAAUUGUUUCUAAAAAUUCUUUUUUUGGGGGGACAGGACAAGCGUGUACAACCCCUAAAAAUUCAAAAUACACACGAAGAAACAAAAAGGAGAAAUUCAGGUAUGAAUAGGCCAUUUUGCUUUUGUCUUCGUUUUACACUAAUCAUGAUGGAUUUGUCUUUUAUGUUUUUCAAUGUGUAUUUAGAUUUUGGAUCUGAGUUUUUUUAGGGAUUUGUAUACAUAUGUGUUGCGAACGUUCAUAGUUUUUAUCAAUUUUUUCAAAAUGUUCAAAUUUGAAUUUCAUAAAAUUGGGAGCAUGUAAGGUUUGGUGCAGUGGCGGAGCUUCAUGGGGCCCAAAGGGGGCCAUUGCCCCCCUACUCUAUAAAAUCUCUUUAAGUGUACCCCUAAUUAAUUGUUGGCUUGAAUAUCCAAGGUUUAUGACCCCGCGAAAAGAAAAAAGAAAAUCCAAGGUUUAUGCAUAACUUGUCUUCGUCGCGCCCUCAACAAUCUUCAUCAAGCUCUUCUGGUCCCUGAUGCUUUCUGCACCAGAUAUAUCUUUCUUCCUGUGUUAGCGCACAUUUCUUUCUUCAUGCUCUCAAACAAUUUUUGCGAUGGGGACACCGGCUUCCAAGUCAUGUUGAUUGGUUAGCACGCACUCUCGAAACAUGUUCUGGACGAGUCGAGGCAUAAUUUUUGCUACAUCUUAAUUACUUUUCUUUAAAAAAUCCAUUUACUUCAAUUUUUUGAUAAAAUCCAUUUACUUCGUGGAUGCUAGUANNNNNNNNNNNNNNNNNNNNNNNNNNNNNNNNNNNNNNNNNNNNNNNNNNNNNNNNNNNNNNNNNNNNNNNNNNNNNNNNNNNNNNNNNNNNNNNNNNNNNNNNNNNNNNNNNNNNNNNNNNNNNNNNNNNNNNNNNNNNNNNNNNNNNNNNNNNNNNNNNNNNNNNNNNNNNNNNNNNNNNNNNNNNNNNNNNNNNNNNNNNNNNNNUUACAUGUCAGUUUUGCCUAUAUGGAGGGCAGAGACAUUAGAAGAUGACGGAAAUGAUUCUCAUGCAAGAGUUUAACUAUAUGCGUACUUCUAUGCAAAUACAAUAAAUAUGAAGAAAGAGAUAGAGAGAAGGUGAAAAGAAGUACUACUCUUAUAGCCAAACUUGUUGUAUGAGUGACUAUAAGUGAUGAUUAUAUAUGACAUGACAACAUCAGAUAACUAGUAGUUGAUUAUACUAUUAACCAUGCUAUAAUCAGGGGAUCGUAUUCCUCAUUCUCCAUACGCGGCUGUUAUGAUCCCGUGCUUUUGUGAGCUUGGUUGAACAGUAAAAUUUAAAAAAACAAUUUAGAAAUUUCUGGAUUUUUUUUAUGAAACUUUGACAAAUAUUUUGAUAGCUUGCAGAAUUUCAUCGCUAGAUGAAAUUUGUGUAAAAUGUGGCAAAAAACAAAACCGAUGUUCCAAAAAUAUUAUUUUCAAACGCAUUUUGGCAAUUCCUUGUCCUAUUUUUUUUUCUCUGACGUGAAACGGAGAUCCAACUGGCCCAUGAGACGGAAAAUCUGGCGAUCUUCUUUUACGGAUCUGGUCAAUUACCUCUGUAACCACGGCCCCCUAAACCCUUGCUCGAUCUCCCCCAAAUCCCAACCGGCCGAUCAUCAUGCCGCCGUCACGGCCGCCACGUCGCCGCUGCGGCCGACGGCGGCGCUCGGCCACCGCAGCAGGGACGGAUCCCUCCGCAGGCGGGAGCAGAGGGUGGCUCGCCGCCCGCCGCAGGCCGUUCAAGCGGCCCGGGCCCGAGCACGGCGACCAGGCGCUGCCCCUGUGCGACGAGACCCUGCUCCUCGUCUUCUCCGCCCUCUCCGACGCCGGGGACCUCGUCCGCUGCGCGUCCACCUGCAGGCGCUGGCGCCGCCUCGUCUCCUCCGACGCCGCCUUCAUCUGCCGCCGCGGCCCCCCGCGCUGCGACCGCUUCGCCCGCCGCCUCGCGGUCGGCGUCUUCCUGCACGGCGCCCGCGGCCGCGGCCGCUCCCGCGGCGACGGCUUCGUGCCCUUCACCAAGCCCGAUCUCUCGAUCGCCGACGGCGGGGUGCCGGGCUCGUCGUCGCGCGUCGUCGCGUCCCGCAACGGCCGCGUCGUGAUGGACCUCCGCCGCGCCAAGAGCGCCUGCGUGCUGCGCCUCUGCGUGUGCGACCCCAUGACCGGCAACGCCGACCUGCUCCCGCCCCUGGCCGGCAAGGACCGCCCGGGCCCGUACGCGUGCGCCCUGCUCACCGCCGACGACGGGCUCCACCUCUACGACGCAUGCGCGGCCACGUCCCCGUCCCCGUCCUCGUACCGCGUGCUCCUCCUCUACAACCACCGCAGCUACACGGCGCUCCGUCGCUACUCCUCGGACGACGGCAGCUGGGGCCCGGAGGUGGAGGUGACCGGCGCCCGGAUCGCGAGGGGGCGGCAGCUGGGCGUCAGGGCGCACGCCACGCUGGUGCGGGGCGGCGCGGUCUGCUGGUACGGGCUCGGCAUCGCCGUCAACCCCGCCACGCUGCACACGUCCAGCUUUGGCUACACCGUGCAGGCCUUCGAGUCGCCGCCGCGCCGCGCCAAGGCCUCCCUCGGCGAGGUGGACCGGCUGCUGGGGCUGAUGCCGGACGGGCGGCUGUGCGUGCUGGAGUGCAAGGCCGACGCGGUGCGCGCCUACGUGGUCGUCUACGCCGACGCGGUGAGGAACGGCGGCGUGUCGGGGAGGAAGGAGUGGCGGUGGACGCUGAACGCGGAGCUGAUGGGCCUGCAGGCGGUGAGGCUGCGGUGGUUCUGCGAGCAGAGCGGCGUGGCGCUCUUCACGGCGAGGAACCGGGGCGGCAAGACGCAGGUGUACGCGGUGGACGUGGAGACGAUGCAGGUGGGCAGGGUGGACUGGUCGGGGGACGACGGCGACGGCGGCGACGGGGACAUGGACGUGUGUGGGUACGAGAUGGACCGGGUGGCCAUGCUCGCCGAGCUCGACCACUCCGCUGAGCUCCAUCCAGCUCCUCGGCAGCUCUGAUUCAACAUUCUUUUCCUUAUUUUUCCCUUCUUUUUCUACAAAAUUUCAUUGAUUUCUGCAAUGACUGCAAAUUGUAGUUUUUGUAUAGGAGUAUUUAUAAUGCUUUUCGAAAAAUCAGUACUAAUACUGCAACCCAAACUGGUUCCAUUAUCGCCACUGUCAUUGUUCUCGCGAAAAUUGGAUCUGGGUCACCAAAUGAACCAAGCAUCUCAUACAGGUACAUGGAUUGUUUGCAUAUAAACACCAAUGAACUUCUGACUAAAAUUUUCAACUUUUAAGGGAACAGAAACCACUUCUGACUAAAAUUUUCAACUUUUAAGGGAACAGUUAAAUUUAUAGCAGUAACAUAAAAAUACAAAACAUGAUUUCUUUGGCAGCAAACAUCGGUGAAUAUUCUACUCCCUCUAUAAAGAAACAGUUUGUCUAAUUCACAUCUAGAUGUUUUUUAAGGAUGUCACAUCUAACCUCCCACAAGUAAGGCAACAACAAAGAACAAAAAAACUGGGACAAAAAAAAAAUAGACUACAAGCGUAGUGGAGAUCAGGUUAGAUGUGACAACAUCUAGAUGUGUCCUAAACAGACCCACAAAAAAAUAUAUUUCUUUUCGGAGGGAGUACAUACUUGGAAACUUCUUGAAAAAAAUAACACUCCUAAUACUCUGUCAAUAGCAAAAUCAAUGCUCCAGAAAGAAUAUUUUUGAAAGCAUUUGAUUUUGUAAAACAAAUCCUAGACCUCCACGAAUGUGAUUUCAUCACGAAAUUUGCAUGCACAUAGAAAACUAAGCAAUGUUCGUUGUAAAAAAAAUUCAGACUUUUAUUGUUCAUGAGCUCUUGAGCUCGAGAUUAUAAGGGACCCUUUCACCCGUUUGCAUUGUUUACACACCGAACACAAUCAUCAUUCAUCAGCCAAGCAACAACUAAACUGCAGCAACAUCAUCG